CAAUAGCGUAUAUUAAAGUUGUUGCGGUAAAAAAGCUCGUAGUUGGAUUUCUACCGAAGAUAGCCGGUCGGGUCUUCGACCUUGUAUCUGGUUUUGUCUUUGGUAUCCUCAUAGGGAACGUUUCUGCGCUUUAUUGCGUGGUGCGGUAUCUAUGCCUUUUACUUUGAGGAAAUUAGAGUGUUCACGGCAGGCAAACGCCUUGAAUAUAUUAGCAUGGAAUAAUAACAUAGGAUCUUCGUCCUAUUUUGUUGGUUUCUAGGGCUAAGAUAAUGAUUAAUAGGGAUAAUUGGGGGCAUCUGUAUCAACGCGUCAGAGGUGGAAUUCUUGGAUUGCGUUGCGACAAACUACUGCGAAAGCAUUUGCCAAGGAUGUUUUCAUUGA
rnacentral:rRNA from 1 species